AUGUCAGGUGAGGUCAAGGAAGACAGAUGUUGGGUGUUCGGCGGAGGCACCAAAUUGACUGUCCUAGGUCAGCCCAUAUCUCAACCUUCAGUCACCUUGUUUCCACCUUCUCCUGAGGAGCUCAAGACCAGCAAGGCCACACUGGUGUGUAUGAUCAAUGACUUUUACCCUGGUGAUUUGGCAGUGACCUGGAAAGCAGAUGGUACAACUAUCACCCAGGGUGUGGAGACAAGUAAACCUUCCAAACAGGGCAACAAGUACUUGGCUACCAGCUUCUUGACUUUGACAGAAGAUGCAUGGAAAUCUAAAAACAAAGUCAGCUGUGAGGUCACUCAUGAAAGGAUAAAAGUAGAGAAGAGUUUGUCCCCUACAAUGUGUUCCUAGGCCUUCCAAUAUUCAUCUUACCCAUAGAAACUGGGAUUAGAAUAAUGAACAAAUACUGCUCUUGCCUAUCAUAGCCCUUCUCCCUGCUCCUGAAAUGCAAAAUAAAAUAUCUGUUCUCAACCUGUAA